rnacentral:rRNA from 1 species
GACGAACGCUGGCGGCGCUGCCUAAUACAUGCAAGUCGAGCGGACAGAUGGGAGCUUGCUCCCUGAUGUUAGCGGCGGACGGGUGAGUAACACGUGGGUAACCUGCCUGUAAGACUGGGAUAACUCCCGGGAAACCGGGGCUAAUACCGGAUGGUUGUUUGAACCGCAUGGUUCAAACAUAAAAGGUGGCUUCGGCUACCACUUACAGAUGGACCCGCGGCGCAUUAAGCUAGUUGGUGAGGUAACGGCUCACCAAGGCAACGAUUGCGUAGCCGACCUGAGAGGGUGAUCGGCCACACUGGGACUGAGACACGGCCCAGACUCCUACGGGAGGCAGCAGUAGGGAAUCUUCCGCAAUGGACGAAAGUCUGACGGAGCAACGCCGCGUGAGUGAUGAAGGUUUUCGGAUCGUAAAGCUCUGUUGUUAGGGAAGAACAAGUACCGUUCGAAUAGGGCGGUACUUGACGGUAAUAACAGAAGCACGGCUAACUACGUGCACAGCG